rnacentral:rRNA from 1 species
AUUGAACGCUGGCGGCAUGCCUUACACAUGCAAGUCGAACGGCAGCACGGGAGCAAUCCUGGUGGCGAGUGGCGAACGGGUGAGUAAUAUAUCGGAACGUGCCCAGUCGUGGGGGAUAACGUAGCGAAAGCUACGCUAAUACCGCAUACGAUCUAUGGAUGAAAGCGGGGGAUCGCAAGACCUCGCGCGAUUGGAGCGGCCGAUAUCAGAUUAGGUAGUUGGUGAGGUAAAGGCUCACCAAGCCGACGAUCUGUAGCUGGUCUGAGAGGACGAACAGCCACACUGGGACUGAGACACGGCCCAGACUCCUACGGGAGGCAGCAGUGGGAAAUUUUGGACAAUGGGCGCAAGCCUGAUCCAGCAAUGCCGCGUGCAGGAUGAAGGCCUUCGGGUUGUAAACUGCUUUUGUACGGAACGAAACGGUGAGCUCUAAUACAGUUUGCUGAUGACGGUACCGUAAGAAUAAGCACCGGCUAACUACGUGCCAGCCGCCGCAGUAA